GACGAACGCUGGCGGCGUGCUUAACACAUGCAAGUCGAACGGAAAGGCCCUGCUUUUGUGGGGUGCUCGAGUGGCGAACGGGUGAGUAACACGUGAGUAACCUGCCCUUGACUUUGGGAUAACUUCAGGAAACUGGGGCUAAUACCGGAUAGGAGCUCCUGCUGCAUGGUGGGGGUUGGAAAGUUUCGGCGGUUGGGGAUGGACUCGCGGCUUAUCAGCUUGUUGGUGGGGUAGUGGCUUACCAAGGCUUUGACGGGUAGCCGGCCUGAGAGGGUGACCGGCAAGAUGGGGAGGGGAAAAGGGCCGGAACCCGUGGGGGGGGGAGAGGGGGGAAAUAGGAAAAAAGGGGGGGAGGCUGGAGGAAGCAAGGCGGGGGGGGGGAGGAGGGCCUUGGGGUUGAAAACCGGUUGCGCCGGGGACGAGGGGGGGGGGAGGGGAGGGGGAAAAGAAGCACCGGCAACAUACGUC
rnacentral:rRNA from 1 species